GGGAUCCAUGUUUGACAUAGAACAUGAAUUCCUAUGAACUAUGACGUAACAAAAUGUCAACAAUCAUAAAACACAAUUCUCCAAGGAACUGCUAAAGCCAUAAUCAAUCCAAGCAGCGAUUUUUUGUUUCACUGCCUCGUCACUCAACCUCGUUCAAUUAGUGAAUUUUGAAGAUCAAUUGCAUCUAUGACCGUCUUCAAGCCAAACUCAACACAUAACAUAAGGGGAAAAAAAACUUAUAAAAAAACUACAGCUUUCCACUUCCAAUUCCAAACUCAAAAUAGGGCUUUUACUUACAGCGUAGAACUUCCCGUAUCUCA
rnacentral:misc_RNA from 1 species